AAUAACUAAAUAUUUUGACUGGGUCUAAAUUCGGGUUACUAAUCAAACGCACAUCUCCUAAAUGGGUAUCAUAAACUCCUCCAAAAAACAUGGCUUUUAGAACUAAUAAGAAUGCACCAAAACCCAAAACAAUCAGGUGAUGUCCUAAGAUUAAACCCAGUUUUUGCGAGUCAUUCCA
rnacentral:antisense_RNA from 1 species